CAUGGAUCACUAAGGUCUGUUCCCAAUACAAGAAGACUCUUUGACAUCAUAAUAAAAUACUGCAGAUACGAUGCUGAGUGAAAAAGAGUAGAAAUGGGAAGACUUGGUUGUGCAGAAACUGAGUUCUUAAAGAGAGGAGAUACUUUAUGAGGUUGCAGGGCUUUGACUCCUGGGUACAUGUAUCUCAUCUGAAAGGGAAUCCUGACGCCUACUGAAUCUUAAUAGUCAAUAUUGAUAUCUGGCAUCAAAUUCAAGUUGACCAAAGUUCCAUCUUCAGACCUGGGAGAAGAUGACAGUCAAAAUGAACUGCUUUCAUGUGACACUGGACCAGGCCUAUAUACAAAGGCAUAAGUAAUCAUUGAAUAAUGUUUCAUCUAUCUAUCUUAAUAUAAUUUGUUCUAUGCCUUACUAGAUAAAUGUUUAGUUACCUGUGAGUUUUCUUUUCCUGCCAUUGUCAGAGCUAGGCAGGGCUUAAGUCCCUUUCGUUUAAACAUUACUAACUCUAUACAUAGCUUGCAAAAUUGGAUAAAACAACAAAGGUUACUUUUUCACUCUCUCUCUGCUUAAUAUCUCUGAAAUUUAAAACUAUUCAGAAUCCCACUGGGCCCGAUCUAUUUUCAAUGCUAAUGCUCCACUGCUAAAACUAUAUAAGCAUCUUCCCUCUAGGCUCAGGCACUAUCUUGGAAGAGGUAAAUGUGUAAGAUUGUAAAGGUUGAUUUUUGAGCAACAAAAUUAAUUUAGAUCUUCCAAAUAAAAAAUGGGCACACAGAUGCCCAAACAGUUGGCAAAAUAAGAUACUUUACCUCCUGGACCAGUAUGUGGACCUUUUUCAUCCAUCCCAACCAUAAUUUCCUCUUUCCUGUAGAAUUAAAAGAAAAUUGCAAAGAGGAUAUGAACUUUUCUGGUAAGAAAACCUCCUGGGUAUAGUGCUCCCAGUUAUGAGAUUUAUGCAGAUUGUUAUAUAAAGUUUUUUUAAAUCAAGCACCUUAGGACAAACUAUUAAAAAGACUGCUAAAAGCGUUGUGACACAACAAAAGUCUCUAAAUUCUGUAGCUUAAAAAGUUUUAACAAAGUACUUAUCUUUUGCAAGCUAAUUGCUACAAGUCUAUAACUAAAACAUGUAUUGACUGAUGUCUUAGGUCUCCCUAAAAUAUAUAAAACCAAGUUGUAAACCAAUCACCUUGGACACAUGUUCUCAGGACCUCUGGAGACUGUGCCUUGGGCCAUGGUCACUCAUAUUUGGCUGAGAAUAAAAUUUUAAAAAUAUUUUACAGAGUUGGGUUUUUCUUGUUGGCUUUUUCAUAAAAUGUAAAAUGUUUGAGAAAGACACUUCUCAAGUGGCCAAGUGAGGAUAUUCUAGCUUAAUGCGUAGAAUUUAUAGCUAAGUCAAUUUUGUAACCUUGCCUUUUGACUUUUGGUUCUUGAUGCUUACAUUACAAAAUUUUAAGGUUUGAUAAAUGCCUGCUCCACUUCCAUUCCCAUCUGGCCUAGGAUAUUUAAAUUGGCUAUAAGUCUUUUGGCUCUACAUCUGUUGGCCGUGAGUCCCCACCAAGGGAUAGGAUAGACCCAGGGCACAUAGCCACACCACCCCAGCAAUGGUAUGCAACAAAAUGAUAGUUUGGCCAUUGAUGUUGCCUCUGGGAAAUUUUUUUUUUUUUUUUGACGAAGUCUUGCUCUGUUGCCCAAGCUGGAGUGCAGUGGUGUGUUCUAGGCUGACUGCAACCUUUGCUUCCUGGGUUCAAGUGAUUCUCUUGCUUCAGCCUCCCAAAUGGCUGGUAUUACAGACGUGCACCACCACACCUGGCUAAUUUUUUUUUUUUUUUUUUGAGACAGAGUCUCACUCUGUCAUUCAGGCUGGAGUGCAGUGGCACAAUCUCGGUUCACUGCAACCUCCAUUUCCCGGGUUCAAGUGAUUCUCCUGCCUCAGCCUCCUGAGUAGCUGGGAUUAUAGGCAUGCACCACCAGGCCCAGCUAAUUUUUGUAUUUUUUUGUAGAGAUGGGGUUUCGCCAUGUUAGUCAGGCUAGUCUCGAACUCCUGACCUCGUGAUCCACCUGCCUCGGCCUCCCAAAGUGAUGGGAUUAUAGGCGUGAGCCACUGUGCCUGGCCUAAUUUUAGUAUUUUUAGUAGAGAUGGGGUUUCGCAAUGUUGGCCAGGCUAGUCUCGAACUCCUGACUUCAGGUGAUCUGCCUGCCUUGGCCUCCCAAAGUGCUGGGAUUACAGGUGUGAGCCACCACGCUUGGCCUCCUCUGCUCAAUCCUGACCAGAAAAAUCAAAUUCUAACUCCCCCAAUCAACUGAAUUCCCCUCCAUUCAUCUGCCAAGGGGAUUCUAAAGAAUCCUGAAAACUAGUUCAGGCCAUGACAAUUGACAUUAAAACAGAUCUUAAAACUGACAAAACAGAUUCUUUGUAGCAAUAAGAUACCAAAUUUCAACCUGACUCAGGUAUAACUUCACAUGAUAAAAAAGGAAAUAAAAAUAUUUUACCCCCAAAAUAGAUUUCUUUGACAUAUUUUGAAAUGGCCCUGCAAGGCAGUUGGGGAAAUUUUGCAUCUGUAAAGCAUCUCCUUAACAUAACUAGAUCUUUCCCCUUCCAGGCCCUCCUAAACCUGAAGAGAUUAACUGAGAUUCUAGCACCUUUUAAAGUCUACAUAGGAAACAUUCACCAUUUAUUAUCUCUAAGGGCAGCCACUUAUGAGACUUCAUCUAUGUAAUAAAAACCUUGGUCUCCACAACCCCUUAUGUUAACCCAGACACUCCUUUCUAUUGAUUCCAGGUCUUUAGAAAAUAACUUAACUCCUCCAAGCAAUUGCCAAACAGAAAACCUUGGCAUCUUCCUAUGACCUGUAAGCACCCACUUUCCCCUGCUUUAAGUUGUCCUACCCUUCUGCACCAAACCAAUGUAUACCUCACAUGUAUUGAUUGAUGUCUUCUGUCUCUCUAAAACAUAGAAAAGAAA
rnacentral:lncRNA from 1 species